UACGUAGGGUGCGAGCGUUGUCCGGAAUUAUUGGGCGUAAAGAGCUUGUAGGCGGUUUGUCGCGUCUGCUGUGAAGAUCCGGGGCUCAACCCCGGACUUGCAGUGGGUACGGGCAGACUAGAGUGUGGUAGGGGAGACUGGAAUUCCUGGUGUAGCGGUGAAAUGCGCAGAUAUCAGGAGGAACACCGAUGGCGAAGGCAGGUCUCUGGGCCACUACUGACGCUGAGAAGCGAAAGCAUGGGGAGCGAACAGGAUUAGAUA
rnacentral:rRNA from 1 species